CCCUUAGAUGUUCUGGGCUGCACGCGCGCUACACUGAAGCGUUCAACGAGUAUUCACCUUGCCCGGGAGGGUUGGGUAAUCUUUUGAAAACGCUUCGUGAUGGGGAUAGAUUAUUGCAAUUAUUAAUCUUCAACGAGGAAUUCCUAGUAAGCGCGAGUCAUCAGCUCGUGCUGAUUACGUCCCUGCCCUUUGUACACACCGCCCGUCACUACUACUGAUUAGAUGUUUAAGCGAGGUUCUCGAACUGCUAGUGACUGAUCUUCGGUGAGGUCGCAGUGUGGGAAGUGAACCUAGCUUUGGUGUCUAGAGGAAGUAAAAGUCGUAACA
rnacentral:rRNA from 1 species